rnacentral:lncRNA from 1 species
CCAGGACCCUGGAAUCAUGACCUGAGUCGAAGGCAGCCGCUUACCCAACUGAGCCACGCAGGCUUCCCCCUCAGUAUACUCUUAAGGAUUGGGGAGAUGAGUCUGGGAUGGAGGAACAGACUUGGGAAUUAUCAGCCUAUUGAUAGUGCUUAAAACCCUGAGCCUAGAGGAAACCACUGAGGGAGUGAGUGGAUAGAGAGGAGAGGAGGUGUGAAACUCAGCCCAGGGUCUCCAGCAUUUCAGGAUUGAGGAGACAAGGACAGACCAGCAAGGUGACUGAACAGGGUCAGUGUUGGCUAGUGACUGGGAAGGAGUCAAGGAACAUGGGAGACCAUGGGAACAUGUGUGCUAAGUGGGGGAGAGUGAGCAAGUGUAUCAAAGCUGCUCAUGCAGUGGAAGAAGACGUCUGAAUGCUCACUGAUCAUGAACCUGACCUCUGUGGAGGUCAUGGGGCAAGAGCAGCUCCAGACUCAUCUACUCUAGCUAGAGGAGGAGAUUUAGCAAAGCAGGAGGAGGAGAGAAGACAAGAGUACCGUCCCCUCAUUGCCGGCGAAUGGCAUUCUCUUCAUCUCUCCGUGGGCUGGGAGGAGAACACAGCAGCAUAUGCUCCCCUAUAGGGAAAGAGUACAGAGUACCCUCCUGAGUUCCCUUCCCUCACAGAAAACGAACGAACUGUGUGGAGCCAAAGAAAAUACGAUCACACCCUUCCUGACACUUAGAGCUGUGGGGGCCAAGUGUAAUUGGCCUAGAGAAACAGCUCAAUAAAAGGC